UACGUAGGAUGCGAGCGUUGUCCGGAAUUAUUGGGCGUAAAGCGAACGUAGGCGGCUUGUUAAGUCUGUUCUUAAAGACCGGGGCUCAACCUCGGGACUGGAACGGAUACUGGCAGGCUGGAGGACGUCAGAGGGAAGUGGAAUUCCUAGUGUAGCGGUGAAAUGCGUAGAUAUUAGGAGGAACACCGGUGGCGAAGGCGGCUCACUGGCUCGUAACUGACGCUCAUGCACGACAGCGUGGGGAUCAAACAGG
rnacentral:rRNA from 1 species